GUAAUCAGCCGUGACGUCACACAGUUGCAUUUCAACACGUGGUAUCAAGCUACAACCACACAUCGUGUACCUUCCAAAUCACCAGAUUAAUAUGUGCCAUCACGUGACUGUCAAUGCUUUACCUACAGCUUGAGGUUGCGUCACUUUAAAAAAAUAAAUCUUUUCUCUUUUUAUGCGACUGUCAACAGUGACUCGUUUUUUUAAAUUUCCAGCGUUUUCAAGAUGCUUUUUAAGUUGUUUUUAACGAAAUGAUGAUAUCGCAAUAUAUUUUUAACGAAUACAAUAAUUUUUAUACUAAUGCGUAUUUUCCCAUAAUUCACGACGUCAAAAUACAAAUUAAACGAUAUGCAUUAUUGGAACCAAUAAGGCAAAAACUAAUCUCCAGUCAUUCUUCUCUUAAGGCAACGUGAGAUUUUUCAAGAACAUUAAAUGUACAAGAAACAAUUGGUCUUAAACUCAAACGGCGGCUGUGAUCUCGUUUACAGCGAGAGAGCCACGAGACUUAUUCCCCCGCUAACUUCCGUCAUUGGUCCACGUUCUCAUUACCUAUACAGCGAUGGUAUUUGGAACAGUAGGCGCGAUGACGAGAAAAAUACAACACGUGACUCGCUCCCAACGAGAUCUCGACGAUUUUGUCAAUGGUUUUUAAAUAUUUGAAUGAUUUUUUAAAUAAGUUAAAGUAUAAUAAAUAAUACCAACAUGUAAUCCUAUACAUAGGUAAUUUUUAAAUAGUUUUGUACGUUUAUGUUUUAUACUUCAAUCUCGUGAUUUAUUUUAAAUCGGAAAUAAACGUUGUCUAUUUUGUUA
rnacentral:sRNA from 1 species